rnacentral:rRNA from 1 species
AUUGAACGCUGGCGGCAUGCUUUACACAUGCAAGUCGAACGGUAACAGGCCGCAAGGUGCUGACGAGUGGCGAACGGGUGAGUAAUGCAUCGGAACGUGCCCAGUCGUGGGGGAUAACGCAGCGAAAGCUGUGCUAAUACCGCAUACGAUCUAUGGAUGAAAGCGGGGGACCGUAAGGCCUCGCGCGAUUGGAGCGGCCGAUGUCAGAUUAGGUAGUUGGUGGGGUAAAGGCUCACCAAGCCAACGAUAUGUAGCUGGUCUGAGAGGACGACCAGCCACACUGGGACUGAGACACGGCCCAGACUCCUACGGGAGGCAGCAGUGGGGAAUUUUGGACAAUGGGCGCAAGCCUGAUCCAGCAAUGCCGCGUGCAGGAAGAAGGCCUUCUGGUUGUAAACUGCUUUUGUACGGAACGAAAAGGUUUGGGUUAAUACCCUGGGCCGAUGACGGUACCGUAAGAAUAAGCACCGGCUAACUACGUGCCAGCCGCCGCUGUAA